rnacentral:tRNA from 2 species
GCCGGGGUGGUGGAAUUGGUAGACACAGCAGACUCAAAAUCUGCCGACCGCAAGGUCAUGCGAGUUCGAUUCUCGCCCUCGGCACCA